CCCACAGGUUUUAAAGAGUAGUCUGGAUGAGGUCUUGUCUUCCCUGUCGUUACCCCCCCAGGUUUUAAAUAGUAGUCUGGAUGAGGUCUUGUCUUCCCUGUCGUUACCCCCCCAGGUUUUAAAGAGUAGUCUGGAUGAGGUCUUGUCUUCCCUGUCGUUACCCCCCCCCCCAGGUAUUAAAUAGUAGUCUGGAUGAGGUCUUGUCUUCCCUGUCGUUACCCCCCCCCAGGUUUUAAAGAGUAGUCUGGAUGAGGUUUUGCGUGCCUCACUGGAUUCAGCAAGCCAAAGCUAACGGGGAGAACAAUCAUUCUCUGCCAGCCUUCUGGUUUAAUACGUAACACAAGGGGACUUCACACAGUCAAUAAAAAUCAUGAAAUGAGCUGACACACCCGGCUCAAUCUCAAGAGUGUUUGAUAAGUCAGUGAGGCUGUAGACGGGGGUCUGGUGAAUAGACCAGGCUAUAGAGGGGGUCUGGAGGGGGUCUGGUGAAUAGACCAGGCUAUAGAGGGGGUCUGGAGGGGGUCUGGUGAAUAGACCAGGCUGUAGAGGGGGUCUGGUGAAUAGACUCGGC